UAUGAUGACACACCAAAUGAUGACCACCAAUCAGAAACCACUAUGAUGACACACCAAAUGAUGACCACCAAUCAGAGACCACUAUGAUGACACACCUGUGUUUGCCGGAUCCUUCUUGUCCUCUUCUAAUGCCUCUUAAGGGGAAAGUAAUCCAAAAGUAACUGAGUUACGUUACUGAUUACAAUGUUUAACAGAUAACUAGUAACUGUAACAGAUUACAUUCAAAAAGUAACCUAUCCAACUCUGCUAACUGAAAUAUUACCUGUCGGUCUCCUCUGACUCCACAGAUUGUAUCGCUAUAGUUACUAUGGUUACCCUUAAUGGUUCCAAACGGACCCCUGUUCCCUAUAUAGUGCACAGCUUCUCCCGUGGAAGGGAUGAAAAUAAUUAACCUAUGCUAUGGGCCCUGGUCUAAAGUAGUAUCCUAUAUAGGGAAUAGGGCCCUGGUCUAAAGUAGUAUCCUAUAUAGGGAAUAGGGCCCUGGUCUAAAGUAGUGCACUAUAUAGGGAAUAGGGUGCUUUGACACGUUGACCUUUAACCUGGCUCCUGGUUUGACGCCAACAUUUAGUUAGUGUACAUAGAGAUCAUGUAUGUAUUUAUUUUGUCUUGGGUUUGUAAAGUUAUUGUGUGGUUUAUAUUGUUGAACGGUGAUAUUAAUGAAUUUUAACUCCUUAACACAUUGUCUUGUUCAUAUCCCAGCAUUUGUAGCUCAGUAUGUAUGGCUUGAUUUAAUGGCACCCUAUUCUCUAUAUAAGUGCACUACUUUUGACCAGAAUAGUGCACUUAUAAAGCGAGCAGAGUACCGCACAGAUACAGUGUGAUGUUAACGGAUGUUUUCUGACUGUAAGCCUUCCUUUAGCAGCUGUUUGAAAUAUUUACAGGAUUUCUGGGAGUUUGAGUCAUGUCUAUUAUGUUGUGUCCCCCCCCCCCCCCUAACACCUUAAUAACACUUUGAUUGGAGCAUUUAGAGAGUUUUGAUUGGAGCAUUUAAAAGGUAAAAAAUGUACUGAGGCAGUAUUCAGUGUUCUGCCCUUAUCCUGUGGUCUGAGGCAGUAUAACUGUCUCAAGAUCACUUCUGAAACUAUAGGACACGUUCCAGGUCAACUAUAUUGCAGUCGAUGCAUUAUUGCAUUAACCAACGGUUGCGUGCAGUCGGGUAUCGGAUUGGUAAAACGUGAUGUGGUUAACUAACAUGUUAAACACCGAUCCCGCUGUUAUGAAAUCUGGCGUCUGAAAUGUAGUCGGCCUGGAACGCGUCCGUUCGUCUUCCUGUUAGUGUUGUGUUGCCUGUACGUGUCUGAAGGUUCUCUGCAGUCGGCCUGGAACGCGUCCGUUCGUCUUCCUGUUAGUGUUGUGUUGCCUGUACGUGUCUGAAGGUUCUCUGCAGUCAGCCUGGAACGCGUCCGUUCGUCUUCCUGUUAGUGUUGUGUUGCCUGUACGUGUCUGAAGGUUCUCUGCAUGCCUGUGUGUUUAUGAACAUCCGAUUGCUUAAGACUACAAUCAGAGCAGGAACGCACCCCUAUCCCCUAUAUUGGGCACUACUUUUGACCAGAGUCCUAUGUGCCCUAGUCAAAAGUAGUGCACUAUGUAGGGGAUAGGGUGCCGUUGGGGAUGUUGCAGCCUGUGUGUGUGAGUACAGAACAUAUAUGUUAGGAAACAUGAUGUUUGAAACUUCUGCAUGAGUGACAAUUUUUGAUAAACUUCCUCUUUUAAAACAAAAAAACUUCUGAGGAUUUGAAGUACGGAUUAAACUAAACAUUUGAUUUGUUUCCGGACUCUGGGUGUCCUGACUCAUCGUCAGUCUCCCAAAUGGAACCCUAUUCCCUAUCUAGUGCACUACUUUUAACCAGAGUCUUAUGUGCUUCCCUAUGUGCCAUGGGUUGAAUGUAGUACACUUCUUUUUUUUUUAAAGGGAAUAGGAUCCAAUCAGCAUCCAGUAUCCAAAACACCCAGUUUUAUAACUGUUGUUAUUCUACUUGUACAGUUUGAUAUUCCUUCCUGUUCUGGGUCGUAAACAGAAACACCAACUCAGUAUAAAAGGUCUGGACUGAGAGGAUCUCUAUCUGAUAAACUAUGGCGGUGUACCAAAUGGGACCCUAUUCCCGAUCUAGUGCACUACUGUUGGCCUGAUCAGGCUACGGAAUAGGGUGCCAUUUUCAGACUUUGAUAAACAACAAUCCAACUCAAAUGUGACUCUUUUAUACAAGGAGUUGAAACCAGAGAGCUGGAAACCAGCCUAAUGAAUUUGGUGAGUGUGAUGUUAGAGUUUGAUACCAGAUGUGAUAUUGUGCUUGUAAAUACAUUAUGAAGAGAAUCGUUUCUUUCUCAACUUUGAUGGAAUUUAAAACUCUACGCUUUUCAAGAUUAAUUUUGGGAGCCAAAAUGAGUCUGUUAUCAAAUGAACAUUUGUAUGGGGAAAAAAUAAAAGUUAUAAUUUUAACAUUGAA